AAAUAAAAAUACAGUUACAUAUAUAUUUUAACCUAAAAUCAUUUUUGUUCUAGUUUACAUCUUCAAAAAUAAAAAUAUUGUAUAAUUUUAGAUUUUAGUUUUGUAGAGGCCCAAAUUUACCCGGGGCCCAACAAACAAAAUUUUUUUUUAACAGUCCACUUACAUCAACCCAAAUAAAAACUAAAUAGACUUAAACCCAACUAAGCUCACUACCCAAACCAACCCUAUAGCCCACAACCUAAACAUCCCAUUAGCUGAGCAAAAAACCCUAGUCCCAUGUGCGUCGUACCCCUCCACUAGCCACGCCUGUAGCACGCCACCGUCCCAUCGCCUGCACCUCCAAAGAUCUGCAAACACGCAACAAAAAGAAAGCAAGACAGACGCAAAUGACAGCAUAAACAGUAGCAAAUAAUAGCAAAGACCAAGUGUAAUAUUAGGCUAUUAAAAGCCUCGAAAAAUCGUUGUAAAAUGGGGGGGAUUUUGAAAAAAAAAAUCAGAAAAUUGUGAAUGUAAAAUCAUCAUUUUCAAACAUAUAUUUGAAUACAAAAAAAAAACAGCAAGUAUUGAAGAAAAAAAAAACAGAUUCGAACACGUUAAGGUCUCAUUUCUUUUUCCUUUUUAUUUUUAAUUUUCGACUACACAUACAAACGUAUUUUCUCUAUUUUUUUCUUUCAAAAACAGUAUAUUUAUAUAUAAAUAUAGCAAAAUAAAAAAUAAAAAAUUUUACCUUUUUUAUUUCCGACCACCGUGUACGGUGGUCGACUGCGGCGGAGCCACGACGGCCGGUGGUCAAUUCGAUGACCGGAAAUCGCAAAG
rnacentral:lncRNA from 1 species